UGAACGCUGGCGGCGUGCUUUAUACAUGCAAGUCGAACGGUAACAGAGGAAGCUUGCUUCCUGCUGACGAGUGGCGCACGGGUGAGUAAUAUAUAGGUAAUGUACCCCUUAGUCCGGGAUAGCCACUGGAAACGGUGAUUAAUACCGGAUAUUCCUUCUAAUUAUAAUUUUAGAAGGGAAAGUUUUUCGCUAAGGGAUCAGCCUGUACUGUAUCAGCUUGUUGGUGAGGUAAUGGCUCACCAAGGCAAUGACACAUAGCGGGUCUGAGAGGAUGAUCCGCCACACUGGUACUGAGACACGGACCAGACUCCUACGGGAGGCAGCAGUAGGGAAUAUUGCACAAUGGGGGAAACCCUGAUGCAGCAACGCCGCGUGGAGGAUGACACAUUUCGGUGCGUAAACUCCUUUUAUAAGAGAAGAUAAUGACGGUAUCUUAUGAAUAAGCACCGGCUAACUCC
rnacentral:rRNA from 1 species